GGACACUGGUGACAGGUGGUGCAUGGUUGUCGUCAGCUCGUGUCGUGAGAUGUUGGGUUAAGUCCCGCAACGAGCGCAACCCUUAUUGUUAGUUGCUACGCAAGAGCACUCUAGCGAGACUGCCGUUGACAAAACGGAGGAAGGUGGGGACGACGUCAAAUCAUCAUGCCCCUUAUGUCCUGGGCCACACACGUACUACAAUGGUGGUCAACAGAGGGAAGCAAUACCGCGAGGUGGAGCAAAUCCCUAAAAGCCAUCCCAGUUCGGAUCGCAGGCUGCAACCCGCCUGCGUGAAGUUGGAAUCGCUAGUAAUCGCGGAUCAGCAUGCCGCGGUGAAUACGUUCCCGGGCCUUGUACACACCGCCCGUCACACCAUGAGAGUCGGGAACACCCGAAGUCCGUAGCCUAACAGCAAUGGGGGCGCGGCCGAAGGUGGGUUCGAUAAUUGGGGUGAAGUCGUAACAAGGUAGCCGUAUCGGAAGGUGCGGCUGGAUCACCUC
rnacentral:rRNA from 1 species